UAAGAACUUUGAUGUAAAAAAUCUUAUGGUUUAAAAUGAAAUGGAAACUUUACAACAUGAAAAAGAAAGAAGCCAAACUCAACAGCGACAUAUAUUUUCUAAGCCUAUGCAAGAAACACAACUUUGUUCCCCGAGGACUAAACAUCUACAAUCCUCUGACUACUACACACAACUCCAAAUAUGCUUCACAGCUAUGCAGAAGAACUUCAGAGAAAAUUAAAAAUCAUCUACUUCACCUAACCUACUCCAAAAGAGACCAACUCAGGAAGGAAAUCACCACAUAUUACAACAACUUAAAAGACAGAAAUCCAAUCAUCUUCCCUAAUAAUAUACAAUGGACACAAAGAGACUUCAAAAAACUUUCUAUAACAUUCAUCCUACAUAAAAAUAAGAAAUGGAACAAAUUACAGCAAGAACAACCUCCCCAGCCACAGAACAACCAUCAGAGGAACAACACCAACACCUUACAACAUUCCAACCUCAGACUUGAUGAAACUGAAAGCAGCAACCAACCCUCAAAUAUCAUCAAUCUCUCCACACACACGCUUACCAAAACUGAAAGAUCA